AGGCGUUUGCGGCCCAGCGCCUGGACUGGACCUUGGCGUUGGGCCGCAGUUGCCCGGAGUUUUUGGGGCCCCCGGGAACCCGCGCGCCGAGGCCGGCUAAGUUUGGCAGACUCUCUGAGCUCUCGGAAUUCGACUGCCUCCAUUGUUGCUCCUUCUGGCACCCACAGACCACAUCUCUUCAGUGGACCCCCUGAUAGGCCGGUUUGCUCCAGAAGAGACGGGGUUUCACCAUGUUGGCCAUGAUGGUCUCGAUUUCUGACCUUGUCAUCCGUCCGCCUUGGCCUCCCAAAGUGCUGGGAUUACGGGCGUGAGCCACCGUACCCAGCCUGCUUCCUGUUUUAACAGACGAAGAAAUGGAAUAACUUCCAACAACACAGGUUGGAGCUGAAGGAGUGCCCAGGCUGCGGAUGGAGGAAGGACGUGCUCGGGAGAAGGUGAAGAUGGGAGAGAAGCAAGAUCUUCUGUGUUUGGACCAAGGACACAUUUCCUUACUCCAUAGCAGCUGUGCAUGGAAUAUGGAUGUGUGGUCUGGAUGUACAGACACCAUUUUGGACCAUAAAGACAAGGACGAUUGUCUAAGGAUGACACAGCCAGAGCACUGAGAGUGGCGAGAAGGACAGGGGAGCUGCUGUGCCAAGCAGGACUGUCUCUC
rnacentral:lncRNA from 1 species